rnacentral:lncRNA from 1 species
UAUUCACCUAUACACUUAUCAAUCAUAUUCCAUUUUAAUUCAUUUCAAUAACAGUCAAUUUCAUUUAUAUCAUAUCAACUUACUAUCCCUGAUAGCUUUCAGUAUAUACAUAUGAUUCAUAUAUCUCAAAUCACAUUUCAAUUCAUCAAGUGGCAUCAUAUAUCAUCAAUUCGAACUCCAAUCAUUUCAUGAACCUUUGGUUCAUAUUUUC